AAUAUUACCAGCCAUCUAUGUAUAUAUAUCCUUUAGAGUUCAGACUUCCUUCCUUAUACAAUACUACUGCUAUCAUUCUUCUCAGUCUCAAAAUGACCGUCUUUAAUGCUCUCUCUUUUGUAGAUCUAUCUAAUGUCUCCUCACUCAUUUACUCCUCGAAUUUAUCAUUUCUUUUGAUUAGUUUGUCUAUGUUCUUUUUAUCUGAAAAUUUGUUUGAUAAUUAAUUCUUCCUCUCAAGGGUGAUUUUUGCCGGAAUCUGACAAGGGUAUUGCUGCAAAGUGUAUUCUUGCCAGAAUCUAAUCCGAGAAAUCUUACCCAGAUGCCAGAAACUAUAGAUUUUGAUGCUACUUUUUAUCUUUUGAUUCUAUUUUCUUUGUUUUUAAAUUUUCCUCUUAAAAAAAUAAAAAUAGGGUUUUGGUUUUCAUUUGAUUGGUUCCGGAGUUCUAACUUGGUAGAUUCUUUCUUUGAUGCCGUUACACAAUUAUCACUUUAUGUUUAAACCACUAGAAACCGGCCACGUCAUCUCCUGCUCGAGCUCUUGUUGCUAAGCUAUGCACAAAGUUUUGUAUAUAUAUAUAUAUAUAUAUAUUGAAUGAUAUAUAUAUAUAUAUAUAUAUAUCUUUUCUUGUUUUUGUUUUUGAUGAGAUGAUAUUUCUUCUUCAUUUGGUUUUCAAUGUAAAGGUUUAGUGCAUGGAUAGAUUGACAGUCGUUGUUUGCGGAUGUAGCAUCAUCAAGAUUCACAUGCAAAUGCAGAGGGUAGUGAUGUAAUAAUCUCCGCCAAAGUUCUUUGAAAGUGAGAAUCUUGAUGAUGCUGCAUCGGCAAUAAACGACUUUACAAAAUAUAAAGGACUGUUAAACAGUAUUAAUUCACUGUGCCACUUUGCACUUCUGUAUUCAUCAAGAUGAUUCCAUCUACUUUCUUUUCUGUUGCUUUCAGGGAACUAUAAGAUCUUGCAAGGGCUAUCGAAGAUAUACAGCCAACUCCUUCAUGAGUUGACGUUGCAGAUCUAUCAUUUUCUUCUGAACACACUAAACUCGUGGAAAUAGAAGGGACUUUAUUAACAACCAGAGAGAUAAAAGAUACUUGAGGAAGCUGCAUAUUAAAGCAUAUUCAAAAGGAGUGCCUAAAAGGUUAGAAGGACAAUUUUCUGAUUACAAGAUUCUCUGAAGUGCAGAAGAAAUUCAUAACAAGAGGUGAGAUAAACGGUUAAUCAAUUUUUCUUUUUCUGUUUUGUGUUUCAGGUUUUUGGUUUUUCUUUAUGGGGUUUGAUGAUAUCAGCUAGAAACUGGUUUUGAAAACUCAUUGGUGUUUGGGUUCCCACCACCUUUGUCUUCAGCAGAAAUGAUCCAAAAUAAAAAUUGAUUAUUUUAUGGACAUUCUUCGUCUGUAAAUAGAGUAGAUAUUUGAAAGUUGAAACUGCUCUGAGAACUUUAAGACUAUAUGCAAAGAUUGUGGGGGAAGCAUGUCAUUGUCACAGCCAUUAAUGUUGGCUUUACCAUUAAUCAACUAUCCUCUGUGGACCGAGCCUCCAGUCACCCUCUUGUAGCUUGGACCCCUUAUAUGUACUCUCUCUGUUGCUCUUCUCUCUCUUGCAGGAAAAUUUUCUGUGCACAUAUUUUUCACCACAACUAUAAUAGAAGCCCCAACGCUUUCCCAAAAUAACUUCUUAUGCAUUCACCAGACAGCUCAUUCACUACCCAUUUUAAGACUAUGGAGAUCUAUGUGCCCCCUAUCACUAUCCACUGUUCUCCUCAAUGCCAAAACAGUUCUCGAUGAAGUCAUUUUAGUUUGUUUGAUUAGGCAGGCAUAUAUUGUGGCAACAUGCAAGUAGGUCUUUUAUUUAUUUGGAAUUCUUGAGUCUCUCUUAAGAACUUAAAGAUUUUACAAGUAUUGUCGCUAUAUUGAACUCUUCUAUAAUCGCAUUGAUAUGUUGACCCAAUUCAUCUUGAAUUAAAGAAGCAAAGCUAAUGCCAGAAUCAAUUUCUUCUUUGACUAUUGUGAGAAUAAACAAUUACUUUUAUAUGUUUUGAUCAAGAAUAAACCUGAGACGUGUAGGAUUUAAAUAUAGUUGCAUGCAUCUAUACAGUUUUUUUUUUUUUUUUCCUUUUUGGUGGCUUAUCGAACUUUUGUUCAUCAAAUUUCUCUAUUAAUUCUUUCAUUAUUGUAGUAAUUAAUUUUAAAGUUGUAAUAGUUUUUGUGUUAAAGUUUCAUCUAUUCAUCGACUUUAGUUUGUGGCUAAUUUAUACAUCUAUAUAUGUCUUCCAUAAUCUCUAUUUCGUUAGAUAAGCAUCGACAAAUAAUUAUAGCACCAUUGUCUUUAGGUUUAAGACGUCUGUUUUUUGUGAUUCUUGACCAAUUUCGGCAUCUUAUAUUGUUUUACACCUCCACAACAAAGCUAUUGAAUUUUAUUUAGAGUAAAUAUUCUUAAGUUACUCGUCACAGUUAUGUAAUCCAUUGUAAUCAUAUUUUAAAUUAAAAAGUUACAUUAUUUCUUUAUCAAUUCUUAUAAAUAGAUUAAUAUUCUUAGAAUAAUAGAAUCGGAGCAAAGGCAUUAGUGUAUGCCGAUUGACCAUGAGAACUCUAUAUUUACAUUAGAUAGUUAUUCUAGAAAUGUUUGUAGUCUCGGUAUUAUUCGCAUAGGUAAUAUGUGUUAAACAACUUUACUAAAAGAUAGUAACAGAUUUCACGUGUUAAAGUUGUUUAAAGACAACUUACUAUAACAUAUGAGUGCAUAUUAUAUAAACGUGUCUAUCAGACCAACCCAUUAAGAGGAUUUUAUAUGGAUGAGUGUUUUAGUGUCUAUGAAACAUAAUUUUAAUAAAUAGUGAUAUAUGUAAUCAUUUGACUUGAGGUUAUUGAAUUAUUUUAUUUAAAGAUUAAUAUGAUUUGACACUAGUCUAAUAUAUUUUUUGACAAAGGGUUGGCAAAAUAGUAAUGAUUGAUUAUAUUGAGAAAUGUACAAAAACUAUAGUGAACCAAUAAAGGAUUUAUCUCUCUCAAAUAUAGGAGUUGAUAUUUCUAAUAGACUUUCUGGUGAAUAUCAAUAACCACUUAAAUAUGUGGUUACAAUAGGAUUGAGUUAUUUCUUAGUCUUAUAUCAUUUGAUCAUUGAUAUGAACGUUCGUCUAUGCAUAUCAAAAGUCCCUUGAGGUAAACAUUCAUUUUAUGUUUCAGUCUUGAAGAUAUAUUGUAUGAUGAAGUGAUUGAAUUGUACAAUAAUUGUAUUGUUAAUAGUUGAAAGUCAAUCUUUAACACUUCCCCAAUUGUGUACUUAUAAUGUCUUGUUAGAGACUAAUAUUGAUAUGUGUAUAGAUGGUUAUUGAAUUGUUGAUUUAAUAUGAUUCUAUAAACUAUUAACUUGAUAAAGAGCCUAUGGAUUACACAAAAUAGAAGUUGAUCAAACUUUAAAGGUAUUAAAUUAUUUGAGAUAAAUCAGGUUUGGAAUCCAGAUAAUCUGUUUCGAGUCUUAUAUAGUGAUUGGACUCAAGUAUAAGCUAUUAUGCUUUGAGGACCAAAAUGAGAUAGUCUAAGAGUGAAAGCAUGUGAAUGAAAUAACAUGCAGUUAACUUUAUCCAAAUCAGAUAAAGAUAAAGUUGAAAAUGGAUAAUUGUUAGGUCUCAUGCACAUUUGUGCAUGGUCAUGCAUAGUUAUGCAUCUUGUCCAUAGAUCUUAUUACAGUAUUAGUUAUCUGGAUAAUUAGGGAUUGUGUGAGAUAUAAUAAAGAUCAGGUGCAUGAAAGUAUAUCAAGAUGAAUGGUCAUGUAUUGUCUCCUAUAUAAAUAGAUGAUUUUCAACCUUUUAGAAGUUUUUGACCAAUUUCCCCUGCUCACAUCCAUUCACCCAAUAUCCCAACCACAAAGAGCGUUUGUUGUUGCCUCAAAACUUGUGGAUACUGAAGUGUUAUCCUAUACAAACAUAAGCGAGUUUGAACUUGUUUUCCACAUUGUUAAAGAGAAUGAACCACUAAUGCAGGUAUGACUUCUCUUCUUACUCUAAAUCCAUAUAUAAAUUACUUGUAUGAAUGCAUGACGAGGAUCUACAACUGGCUUCUGAAUAUGGUUUGAUGGCUGUUUUACAAAAUUUAUUUAGUCCUCCGUAUAGUUUUUUGUUUGCCAUACAUGCAUAUACAUACACACAUAUAUAGUACUAUUUUUCUUUAACAAUUAUAUUAUUUCUUCAUCUCGUUUUGUAUGGUGAUUCAUACGCUCAUAAUUACAGCAGUGGAGCAAACGGGUAUCCUAAAUUUGCAGAACUGGACUUAUGAAAAAUUAGCUGCAUCUCUUGCUUAUAUAUGUUUGCAUUUCCUUUUCCUGUAAUCACAAAAAAUUUGAGCGUGAAUCAUUCAGCUGCUGAGGAUUGAGGAGGGGUAACUGCAAAUACUAUAGAAGAUACUGAUUUCAGCAAUUUUCUUAUCUCUUUUCAUUCCGUCUUUGUGUAUGGAUGUUUAAUGGUAGGUACCAAUAAACUCAGAAUGUUUUCAUCGUAGAUUCCAGGAAAUUUCUUCGAAACUAUAAUGAACUCAUUCCGAUUUUGAUGCUGCUGAGUCUGGUCGUUGGAAUUAAAGUCCUAAUUCAAUUUUUGAAACGUUUAUUCAAAGAAAAUGUAGUUGGAUUAAUCAAUUUUUUGUUAAUAAUAAAGCAAGUCUUAUAUU